CUUCGCCGUCCCUGACUGGAGGAAACCUGCAGGCUCUCGUCCGCCGAGCUCAGAAGUGCCAGGCGCUGCCAACGGCCCCGGAGAUCCUCGCGUAGGGGCCCCCGGGGCGAUGCGGAACGCUCCCGCAAGAGCGGCGCCGGAACUUGGGCGGGGAGGAAGACGAGCUUUCGCAGACAGGGCCGGGAGGAGAGGGCGGGAGCGGGAGGGACGCUAAGUGGGGUGUCUCCGC
rnacentral:lncRNA from 1 species